GACUGGCUCGUCUUUAGUGAAGUCCAACACAACUGGCUGCUCAUCAGUAACAUCUGACACAGCACUAAAGACAAAAAUGAAGAGGACGGUGAUCAAAUAUAUAUAUUAUAUGUAUAUAUAAUUAAUGUGUAUGAAUGAGACUGUACCGGUCUGUAUGAGGCAGAGAGUAGGACACACUCAGACCCUUGGCUUUGGAGUGGAAGCUGAGCACAAGCGGUCUCUCCAUUCCCUCCACAUCACACACAGCUACUACUUCAGUCAGUUCCUCCUGUACUUACAGAGAAGAAGAUGGUGGACAAACUCUCAGCCAACUUUGUCUACAAAUUGCCAGAGGAUGGAGUAAAGCUGGCUGAGCAGAGAUGAGCCUGAGGUCCCUGGAGCUGCAAGAGAAAAAAAAAAACACACAGAGACACACAGACAGAUCAGGAAGCACCAUGUGAGAGUUCAGCAGACACACCUGAGGGGACUGGACCUCUGCUCGAACAGGCAGUGCCAUUCAGCACAGCAAGCUUCAGGACAGACUCGAAGCUUUGGCAGCACAUGGCUCUGAAAAGCACAUUCACACUGCAGGAAGAGGAAGGAGGCAGAACACCUUGACUGGGCUCUACACUCACCUAAUACACACAAAUACACGCCAAAACACAACCGAUAAAGCUUCCACAGAAUAACCUUGAUUAUGACUGGUGUUAAUUAUUAUGUUGAUCCAGAUACAGAUUUUAAAGAUACAAUAUAUGAUGGAAUAUUUCAUAUAAUCCCAAAGAUCCCUUUGAAGAACCAUGCAAUGGAUCUGGCAAGUUUCAUCAUUUCAGGCUCAGACUUUCCUGAAAGCAAACUGUU